GUUUUGGAAUCAUUCAAAAUAACAUAGCUCUAAAAC
rfam:Streptococcus pseudoporcinus LQ 940-04 Contig1216510750, whole genome shotgun sequence.